CCUACGGGUGGCUGCAGUGGGGAAUAUUGGACAAUGGGCGAAAGCCUGAUCCAGCCAUGCCGCGUGUGUGAAGAAGGCCUUCGGGUUGUAAAGCACUUUCAGUGGGGAAGAAAGCCUUGGGGCUAAUACCCUCGAGGAAGGACAUCACCCACAGAAGAAGCACCGGCUAACUCCGUGCCAGCAGCCGCGGUAAUACGGAGGGUGCGAGCGUUAAUUGGAAUUACUGGGCGUAAAGCGCGCGUAGGCGGUCUGAUAAGCCGGUUGUGAAAGCCCCGGGCUCAACCUGGGAACGGCAUCCGGAACUGUCAGGCUAGAGUGCAGGAGAGGAAGGUAGAAUUCCCGGUGUAGCGGUGAAAUGCGUAGAGAUCGGGAGGAAUACCAGUGGCGAAGGCGGCCUUCUGGACUGACACUGACGCUGAGGUGCGAAAGCGUGGGUAGCAAACAGGAUUAGAUACCCUAGUAGUC
rnacentral:rRNA from 1 species